UGCGGAAGGAUCAUUAUAGAUUCUUUUGGCUGUGCGCCGCGAGGCCGCACGUCGAAAUCCAAUCACACACACCCGUGCACUUCGGUCGUGGUAAAACGCGGCCGCCUUCACAUUUAACAAGUAAAACCCGAAUGUAACAAACCAUAAAAUAAUACAACUUUUAACAACGGAUCUCUUGGCUCUCGCAUCGAUGAAGAACGCAGCGAAAUGCGAUACGUAAUGUGAAUUGCAGAAUUCAGUGAAUCAUCGAAUCUUUGAACGCACCUUGCGCCCUUUGGUAUUCCGAAGGGCAUGCCUGUUUGAGUGUCAUUAAAUUAUCAACCUUGCUCGCUUUUACCGGCUUGAGUUAGGCUUGGACUUGAGGGCUUGCUGGCUUCCUUCAGUGGACGGUCUGCUCCCUUUAAAUGCAUUAGUGGGAUCUCUUGUGGACCGUCACUUGGUGUGAUAAUUAUCUAUGCCACCUUGACCCUUGAAGCAAACCCUUAUGGGAACCCGCUCAUAACCGUCUUCGGACAGCUUUUGACAUUUUGACCUCAAUCAGGCGGGACUACCCCGCUGAACUUAAGCAUAUCAAUAAGCGGAGGAAAAGAAACUAAA
rnacentral:rRNA from 1 species